GACGAACGCUGGCGGCGUGCUUAACACAUGCAAGUCGAACGAGUGGCGAACGGGUGAGUAAUACGUGAGAACCUGCCCUCCUUUUUGGGAUAAGCCUUGGAAACGGGGUCUAAUACCGGAUAAGGGGGAUGGGCUCGCGGCCUAUCAGCUUGUUGGUGGGGUGAUGGCCUACCAAGGCGACGAUCCGUAACUGGUCUGAGAGGAUGAUCAGUCACACUGGAACUGAGACACGGUCCAGACUCCUACGGGAGGCAGCAGUGGGGAAUAUUGGACAAUGGGCGAAAGCCUGAUCCAGCCAUGCCGCGUGUGUGAAGAAGGUCUUCGGAUUGUAAAGCACUGUAAGUUGGGAGGCGUUACCCGCAGAAGAAGCACCGGCUAACUCCGUGCCAGCAGCCGCGGUAAUUC
rnacentral:rRNA from 1 species